GAGCGUAUAACUCAGUGGUAGAGUACAUGCUUAGCAUGCAUGAGGUCCUGAGUUCAAUCACCAGUACCUCU
rnacentral:tRNA from 1 species